CCUAUAGAUACAAAACAAAAAACCAAAAGAAGAAUGGAAGUGAAAUAAAAACAUACUAGUCAACCGGCCACACGAGAAGUAUCCGUAUUUAUAGGCGCGUUCUUCGAACAAACCUGUUUUAGUGGUUUGAUUCGAUUAUUAACAGUAUCGAUAAUCAUCGCGCUCAUGCUUAAUACAUUGGUCAAUAUGGUGGAAUAAUUAUUGUUAAAUUAAUCAAAAAUAAUAUUUAUCAUUGUUUUGUUGAAAACACAUUAAGAAUCUACAUAUUUCUGGUCUAAAGAAAAUUCCAGGUCACCUAGUUCACGGAUAGCGUAUUUAUUAUAUAACUAUUAUUUUACUGGCCGCGAACUCCGGAGAUGACCUGUAUAUAAACUCUGACAUUCAUACACUGGCCGCGAAUUGACCCGGGUUGAAAUGCAAUGUAUUAAAGUGAGGCCUCGCUUCCACUGCUCUUUAUACUUUUACAUGUUAACAUGUUGACAAGAAUAUGGAAGUAAGUACUAAAUAUGAGAACAUAGCCUUUAAAUAUAAACGCGUUGCGCUGGUAAUUCUCUGAAAAUAAAAGGUGUACGCACAAACUGUAUUUAUGUCGAGAAUUGAGUGUAAAACUGUUCUAUCUAUUAAGCCUUUUCAUUAGAAAUAAAAUUGUUUCAUGCAGUAAAACAGUGUUACAAAGACGCGGAUAUGUUUCCAAUGUUCUGGUGGAAUACUCAAAUCAGCCAAUGGAAUAAAUGAAGUGUAUUCAUUCGUACCUAGCCGCGGGAAAUUUUAUUUGAAUUUUAUUGGACACUUACAAAGGUCAGGAGAGGUGAAAAGCUGGCUUAAUUCA